rnacentral:rRNA from 1 species
UUUGAACGCUGGCGGCAGGCUUAACACAUGCAAGUCGAGCGGAGAUGAGGUGCUUGCACCUUAUCUUAGCGGCGGACGGGUGAGUAAUGCUUAGGAAUCUGCCUAUUAGUGGGGGACAACAUUCCGAAAGGAAUGCUAAUACCGCAUACGUCCUACGGGAGAAAGCAGGGGAUCUUCGGACCUUGCGCUAAUAGAUGAGCCUAAGUCGGAUUAGCUAGUUGGUGGGGUAAAGGCCUACCAAGGCGACGAUCUGUAGCGGGUCUGAGAGGAUGAUCCGCCACACGGGGACUGAGACACGGCCCAGACUCCUACGGGAGGCAGCAGUGGGGAAUAUUGGACAAUGGGGGAAACCCUGAUCCAGCCAUGCCGCGUGUGUGAAGAAGGCCUUAUGGUUGUAAAGCACUUUAAGCGAGGAGGAGGCUACUGAGACUAAUACUCUUGGAUAGUGGACGUUACUCGCAGAAUAAGCACCGGCUAACUCUGUGCCAGCCGCCGCGGUAA